CAAGCAUGAAAUGAGAACAUCUUGAUAUAAGAAAUUCUAGAAAGGAAAUAGAAGUUGGACAACUUUUUCUAAGCGUCAAGCAUAGCAUGAAAACGAAAAUGUAGAAAUCAAGAGAUGCAAGGGAGGAAAAAGAAGAGAGUAGCAUCCAAUGAGUGUCCAAUGGAAGAAAUAAAAACUGCGAUGGACAAGGAGGAUUGCAAGUGUCUAGAGAAGGGAGUGAAGUUUUGGAUUGGAAACGAGGAUAGUUAACGUGGAACAGGGAUCUAUCAUAGAGAUGCUGGAG